rnacentral:misc_RNA from 1 species
GAUGAAGAACGUAGCGAAAUGCGAUAAGUAGUGUGAAUUGCAGAAUUCAGUGAAUCAUCGAAUCUUUGAACGCACAUUGCGCCCCUUGGUAUUCCAUGGGGCAUGCCUGUUCGAGCGUCAUUUGUACCUUCAAGCUCUGCUUGGUGUUGGGUGUUUGUCUCGCCUCUGCGUGUAGACUCGCCUCAAAACAAUUGGCAGCCGGCGUAUUGAUUUCGGAGCGCAGUACAUCUCGCGCUUUGCACUCAUAACGACGACGUCCAAAAGUACAUUUUGACACUCUUGACCUCGGAUCAGGUAGGGAUACCCGCUGAACUUAAGCAUAUCAAUAAGCGGAGGA